rnacentral:rRNA from 1 species
AAUUUUAAAAUUAUUUAUUUUUUGAAUUUAUUUAUUUGAUAAAAAAAAUAGUUUUAUUUUUAGUAUAUUUUUAGAAUAAAUAUAUAUAUAUAUAUAUAUAUAAUUAUAGGGUAUUAGUAUUGUGAAAGAAGUUUUUUAUUUAUUAAAAAGAAAAGUUGAUUUUUUGUACCUUGUGUAUCAGGGUUUAUUAAAUAAAGUUUAUAUAUAUUAUAUUUCUCGAAUUUAAAAGAGUUAUAAAUAUAUAUAAAUUUUAUUGUUUUAUAAAUAUUAUAAAUAUAUUUAUAGAAGUGAAAUGCUAUACGAUUUUAAAUAUAUCUAGUUUUUUAAGAAAAAAAUUUAAUUUUAUUUUUAUUUUAUUAUAAAUUUUAUUAAUAAAUUUUAUAAUAAUAAGAUUUUAUAUUUUAUGGGAUGAGCUUUAAAGUAAAAAGUAUAUAAUUUAAUUUUAAAGAAUUAAGAAUUUAAAAGUAGGAUUGAAAGUUUUUAUCUUUUAUAGUGUUUUAUAACUAUUUAAUUUUUAAUUUAAAAUUUAUACAAAAAUUUAUAUAUUUUAUUAAAAUAUAAAUUUAAAUUUUAUAAAUUUAGAAAAAAUGAUAAAAUUAGUAUAAUGUAAAAGUCUAUAUUAUUUUUAUAGAUUUUAGGUUAAAUAAAGGAAUUCGGCAAAUUUAUUUUUCACCUGUUUAUUAAAAACAUGGCUUUUUGUGAAUAAUUUAAGGUCGGACCUGCCCAAUGAUAAAUUCAAUGGCCGCGGUAUUUUGACCGUGCAAAGGUAGCAUAAUCAUUAGUUUUUUAAUUGAAAGCUUGUAUGAAGGGUUUGAUGAAGAAAUAACUGUCUCUAUUUAAAUUUAUUAGAAUUUUAUUUUUAAGUAAAAAAGCUUAAAUUUUUAUAAAAGACGAGAAGACCCUAUAGAGUUUUAUAUUUUUUAUAUUAAAAGAUUUAAGAAUUUUUAUAUUUUGAUUUAAAAAAGUAUUUAGUUGGGGUGAUUAAAAAAUUAAAUAAACUUUUUUUUUAUUGAAACAUUAAUUUAUGAAUAAUUGAUCCAUAUUUUAAGGAUUAUAAGAUAAAAUUACCUUAGGGAUAACAGCGUAAUUUUUUUUAAGAGUUCAAAUCUAAAAAAAAGAUUGCGACCUCGAUGUUGGAUUAAAAUAAAAUAUUGGUGUAGAAGCUAGUAUAUUAGGUCUGUUCGACCUUUUAAAUUUUACAUGAUCUGAGUUUAAACCGGUGUAAGCCAGGUUGGUUUCUAUCUUUAUAUAAAAAUAAUAUUUUAGUACGAAAGGACCAAAUAUUAAAUUUAAAAUUUAUUAAAAGAAUAUUAUU